GCGAUAAGCGCCGGUAAGGUGAUAUGAACCGUUAUAACCGGCGAUACCCGAAUGGGGAAACCCAGUGUGACUCGUCACACUAUCAUUAACUGAAUCCAUAGGUUAAUGAGGCGAACCGGGGGAACUGAAACAUCUAAGUACCCCGAGGAAAAGAAAUCAACCGAGAUUCCCCCAGUAGCGGCGAGCGAACGGGGAGGAGCCCAGAGCCUGAAUCAGCAUGUGUGUUAGUGGAAGCGUCUGGAAAGGCGCGCGAUACAGGGUGACAGCCCCGUACACAAAAGCGCAUGUGCUGUGAGCUCGAUGAGUAGGGCGGGACACGUGGUAUCCUGUCUGAAUAUGGGGGGACCAUCCUCCAAGGCUAAAUACUCCUGACUGACCGAUAGUGAACCAGUACCGUGAGGGAAAGGCGAAAAGAACCCCGGCGAGGGGAGUGAAAAAGAACCUGAAACCGUGUACGUACAAGCAGUGGGAGCACCCUUUGGGUGUG
rnacentral:rRNA from 1 species